GCGCGGCGGCGGCAGGGGAGGCCCGAGACGCCCCCCACCGGGGAACUUCCGCAGACUUUGGGGCUCUCGGGUCACAGACAGGCCAGGGCGGCCGGAGCGGCAGCCUCGGCCCCGCGUGUUCUACUAGGAGCCAAGAGGGCCUUGGGGGCAUCGCAGGUUCUGCCACAUGUUCCGCGUUCACUGGUUGUGUGAACUCUUGAAAGCUCCCACUGAGCUGGGACCAGUCGGUGGGAAAGUGAGUUGCAUCAUCCGCGCCCCUGCUGCCUGAAGCCGCCUGGAAUCCAGUAGAUAAGUAUGUGUGUGUGCCCUGGAGAAUUUUGGAAAUGUUCACACCAGGAACAAGAAAUGGUGAGAGGCAGAAUUGCUCACCUGCCCAUGUUCCGUUACGUUUUGGGGCCCAACGGUGAUGACUGGUGGUGGAAUCUCUCACGCCCAGCCCAGAGCCCAACUGGCAGUUGGAUCUCAGUCGCUGCUUUUCAUCUCACGGGGCUCCCCGGGCUCCCCUUUCCUGACUUACCAGCGGCAGAGAGUAGAGCUGCAUGAUCUGUGGUCCCGACAAGCCCUCACUCUUUCUCCUCCAGGAGUGAGACCUAGGAGUUCCUCUGUCCUUUGCAAGUGCUGCCACGCGGAAACUGCGGGGUUACCUGCCAUCAUGUCUGAUUCCUCCCACUCGUAGGAACUCCAGCAACGCCACCAUUCCUGCCAUUUGAUGUUCGGUUUUUUAAAAGGUUGAAAAUUUGGUAAACAAACAACGGGU